ensembl:lncRNA
GUUAAUGCAUCUCUUUUUAUUAGUGUGGACAGAUUGUGUCACAAAUGGUUCGUUACCUACUGAGACUUCAACAGUUUUUAACAAAACAAAUAAUUGCAUUUACAGCCAAGCUGAAAGACUGCUCACCAGAAAUAAUAAAACUCUUUUAUCUAACUCACUUGAACAGACUGUAAUUGGCUAUUGGUUUGGAAUUCUGAAUGAGGUUGCAAAUUGACUGUAAAUUAUGAGCAUCAUAAUUUUUCCAGUUCAUCUCUUCUGUGUCGUAAUUCUGCCUGUUACCGUCUGUGAUUUAUUACAGAGCUCCGUCAAAAGGAGAAAGAAAUUAGAUAACAAGUGCAUGCAUGUGUGAGUGCUUGUGGGACUAAAUUCAUGUGAAAUACUGGACCUGAUUGCUGGGCUCAUAAAAAGCAAGGGGAGAAAAUGGGAAGAACCAGACUAAGAAACCUCUUGGGAUGAGUUAAACAUGGGAAAAUUGCUCACUGGUUACUAUCACAGACAGAACAAACUCAAACUUAACUAUCUUAAGGCUGUUUUAUUCCUUUGCUCCAAACUACCAGCUUCCCACACCAAGUGGUGCAGCAGCAGGGUGCGAGUUGCUUUAGAUGCAACAGCAACUGGAUUAAGAUCCCAGGGAGAUGCUCAGCGUUACUGCAAUGCUAAGAGAUCGUGUGUGGGCAUCAGAGAGCAUAGGAUCCAUGACAGUGUACUGUGUACAAGGAGCUAGGAGGGGAUGUAACCAGGACAGCUGGCCCAAACUGGUCAAAGAGAUAUCCAAUACCGCACGCAUUGUGUUCAGCAAUAAAAGCUGGGACAAGGAAAGAGGAAGGGAUGAACUGUUGGAGUUGAUGGCAUUUGUCUUCACAGGUAACCCUUAGCAGUGCUAUGGACAGUGGGAUUGAGUGCACCCUCAGCAAGUUUGUGAAUGACACCAAGCUGUGUGGUGUUGUCAACAUGCCUGAGGGACAGAAUGCCAUCCAGAGAGAUCCAGACAGGCUUGAGCGGUGGGCCCAAGUAAGCCUCAUGAGAUUCAACAAAUCCGAAUGCAAGGUCUUGCACCUGGAUUGUGGCGACACCCACUACCGUACAAGCUGCAGCUACCAUCAAAAGUGUCAACUACUGUCCCAGCAUGCCAUCUCAGCACUUCAAUGCACACGUUUCUGAUAACAAAGACUGUCUGAUGUUCUUCAGAUCUUCUACCACUUAGCAGGUACAGUUCUCCUCUCCACGUUUUCUAUUUCUCUUUGAAAGGAGUGAUCAGUGAACAUGCAAAAAAAUGUUGCUAAGGAAUGAAAGGAGCAAGAAGACCUGAAUUAACUUAUACAAGAGUUCAUGCUGAAACACCUUUGGUUUUUAUCUUUUCUUGUGGUGCUCUUCAGAGAAUCCCAAAAUCCCUGUGUGUGGGAGCUGGGAACUCCUACGUACCAUAUGGCGAUGAUAUAGAAAAGCUCAAAGCAAUUUAUGCAAUAUUAUGUAUGUAUUAUCUUGCUGUUGUUAACUCCAAGAUCCAAUAUUCUGCUAAGAUUAUAGACCUCUAAGGACUGCUCUUUUAGUGGUCUUCUUAACAUAGGACUGCUAAGAUUUUAGUCCUCUCUACCAUUCUUCCAGAACUAUGGGAAGAUUUUUUGUGAGCUUGUUUGAAAAUUUGAAAUGUAGAGCUGAGGCUUUUCAAAUCAUGUUUGGCAGCAGAUUUAUACUUUGUUGUCAAGAUUGUUUCUAAUGUUUCCUGAUUAACAUCUGAAUGACCUUUACGUAUUGGACUCAGUUUGCAUCUGUUAGCCCUUAGAUUUCCUUUUCAGUCUUUGACAUGAGACAUUGAAUGUAUUGGUUUGUUUAUCUGAGGCUUUUAUUAUUAUUAUUAUUAUUUUUAUUAUUAUUAUUUUGGGUGGUUGGUUUUGUUUCUGUUUUUUUAUUAUUAUUAUUAUUAUUAUUUUUCCUGCAUUGUUUGAUUUGUUUUUGAGAAGGAAACAUAGACAUUUCUAACACCAACCUAUUUUGAUAGGAGUUUAAAUAAUCAAAUUAGUUUUAAAAGUGGAGAUCUAAGGUACAACACAUAUUAAAUGAUAUAAGUGCAGCUAAGACAGAGAUAGAGCCCCAGUAUACUAGUUGGAUGGCUGUUUUACUUACCUGUUCAUCCUAAAAAAUGAUUUCUGAUUUUAUCUAUACUUGAAAUCUCUGAACCUAUGUUUGUACUCCAAUAAGAAAAAAUUGAAUGAUUAACAACUUGAAAUGCAUCUUCUCCUAACCAGUUUUGAUCAUGAACACUGGUGUGUUUCAGAAGGCAGCAGUACUCUGGCCUUUGUGAUCAACUGCUCAUCUAGGAACCAUACAGCUAAGCUGCUUCUGUGAUUAACUCUACAGAAACGCUUUCUUUUUUUAGUAUUUGGUCUUUUGGUAGCACAAGAAGUGAUCAAAUCUCAGUGAAAAGUGUGCCAGAACUGAUAUGUAUUCUGUAAGAACCUUGGUGACAAAUCUGGGUCACAGCCCUUGUUCUUCAUAACGCCUAAAGGAAUGAGCAGAAAGAGUUCACAGAGGUGGACACAGAGUCCACAAUCUCAGGAAACUAUGGAAAAGACUUGUUGUGUGAAGUAUUAACUAUUCUCUAAACAAUUCUAUCACAGCAAACAUUUUCAGAAGUUUUCAAAAGCAGUGUGUGAGGUAACUGUAUACCAGGCUGAUGCUUAGGAUAGAGCAUGACUUCUUAAAAAAUCUUUUUUUGUCUAAAAUGUGAAACAGAUAUCCAGUUGAAUUUUUUUGUUAAUAAAUUACUAUUUCAAAAUAUUGGGGAGCAGGCCAGCUUACCUUACCUUCAGGUAAUUCUGAUACUGUGAGAACCAAAUAUGUUUUUAAUGUAGGGCUUUUUUUUAAAAUUUAUCUUUUAUUUUUUUAAGUCCUAAACAGAAUAUUUUUCUUUUCUUUUGUUUCUUUCACCAGAACUAACUCUAAUUUUCAAGGUAUCAUUAUUGAAUAAAAGUAAAUACCAGUUAUUUGUAUAUCUGUUGUUAUAUAAAAUAACAGUUAUUUUUACAAGUUGGCUGUACUUGUAAAAUAGAAUGUUGUGGUCAUGAUGGUCUAAAACUAAAACAGCAGUAAUUAAGGGAGGUAAUAUCUUUUAUUUGACAUACUGCUGCAGCUUGCAAAAAUAAAUUAUCUUUCUUUUAUAUGUUAACUUUACUAGUGAAAGAAGUCGUAAUCUUCAAUCUAUGUCUUAAGGAAGAGAAUAUCCCAUAAAAAGCUAUGUCUGAUGAUACUUUCAAGGUAAUAAGAUGCUCUUAAGAAGAUAAAUCAGUUUUCUUUCUUUCAUUUGUAUUUUGAUCCAGUGUAGGCCUUGUUUCCCUCUUGUAGUAGGCAACUUGCAAAAAGACGAAAAUGUUUGUAAUAGGAAUUAAAUGUGAGGUUUCUGAAUGCAGAAAAACUGUGGUGGCAAUCUGUGCUGCUACUAUGCAGUAGAGCUCUGUAAAAUGGGAAACAAACUAAAGAAUGUGAUGCUACAGGUAAACACUGAUAAGUCUAAAUGGUAAAUAGCUUUUUGUUUAUUUGACUUUGGGGAUCUCUUUCCCAGUGUGUUUAAACGAUAAAAGUUUAUAUCAAAGGAAAAUAACUGCUAUCUAUAUGCUACAAGAGUAUUUCUAUUCCUGGGCUCUUGUACAAACGUGUAGAACUGCACCAUCUUGUCAAGAAGAUCCAUCUCUUAAACUAGCAAAUUAAAAAUCUGCUCAGCAAGGAUUUUUGGAUCAUUUGGCCUACUUUUCUGAUUUUACUGUCAGCAGGCUUUGUUUUUCCAGUCUUGUGCUGCAAAGACUAGUUAUCGGAUAAAAUCAGCUUCAUAUCCUGAAGCAUUUUCUGCAAAUACAAGAAAUCACACUUCAGGUGGUAUCUGCAGAUCUGGUCCUUUGAUUUAUUAUUCUUCCUGCGCUUUACACAGGAAAAUACUGAAAGCGUGUGGAAAUGUUCUCUGAUGCAUAUGUUUACAAUUAUAUGUGGUUUAUGAACCCUAAAAAGUGCUCCGUUUUGACUGUCAAUGUCAUAUAUGCAAUCUGUAUAUUCCUCAUGUUCGGUAAAGGGCCCAAUUUAAUAAGUUAUCAUGCAGAAAAGCAGAUGAAGUGCAGCCAAGUCUGUCCAUGUAGAUUCAGUUAAAUGCUUUUUUUGACCUCAAUUACGCAUUAAAAAAAAAAAAAAAAAAGCCUGUACAGGUGACAAGAGUAGAAAUCAGCUCCCUAGAGUCCUAUUCCAGUUCUUUCCCAAGCAGACAUACCUUCUCUCCUCCUUCCUGUAUGCUCUCUAGAAGUCUCGGACUCCUACAUUAAAUGAAAGGGGGAGCUCCAUGAGGCAGACAGUAUCUGUAAUGUAGCAGUAAAGACUCAGCAGUCUUUUUCAUAUGUAUGAAAUAGUUAUAUUUUUAAAAGUCCUAUAAUUCAAAUUAAGACAAAAUGUUACGGAGCUUCUCCCUCCCUCGGGCCUCUAAUAAAAUUUUUUUGAGGCUGUUCUGAGCACCUGGCAAUUAAAGGGGGGAAAUCUUAAAUUUUUUAAUUAUUCCACUCUCUCCUGUCAGGGUGAAGAAAGGACUUCAGAAAAAUACAGUUGUUCUUUAUCAUUAUUUUCAAUCAGGGCUGAAAGAAAAUAUAUUCACUUCUAUUUAUAAUUUAUACAAACAGGGAAAAAUGAUGCUGUCAACCUCAAGUGAAGGUUUUGUUUUUAUCUGAGUGACUUGAUUAUUUCUGAGACAUAAAUAAUUUCCUCAUAUUGCAUGUAUAAAAUGUAUAUGCAUAUUUACAUUCAUACGCAUGUAAGGUUUCUUCUGGCCAAUAUUUUCCUUUUCUUUUAUUUAGUAGAACAGGUUAUUGCUUUAUUGAAAAGAUACCAUUGCAAAACAUUUCUUUGAAUUAUGAGCAACUUUUUGAUUCAUACAGAUUUGACUUUGCCAUUUGGAGACAUAGGACAAACCAUGUACAACCAUUUGGCACAGGUUUCUGACUAAGAUUUCUACGACAACAGAAGUAGCUAUGGACAAAGUGAGACUGCUUCUACCAAAAGUCAGUCUGUCUCUGGGGGAGCUGCAGUUCUGCCCAGGUCACACCAUACAUGUAAUGAUAAGUCAAAAAGACAAAAUUGUUUGAGGAGAGAAUAAAUGAUUUGUCUAAUUCAUCAAACACUUAGAACAACAGAUUGAUAGAAAACAUAAUUACUUUUCACUUGAUCUAAAAACAGUUCAGAUUGCAUUGACCACCAGAUAAAAUUAAUUUACAACUAAUAAUUUACUGUGUUCCAAGUCUCAUCUGGUUUGUUGCUUUCAUGAAUUUUCUAUGUUUCUGCCUGUUCUCUGCUCAGCUGCUGUUGUUUAAGUACCCUGAGGAUGGAGAGGCUUGGAUUGGUGCCUGGUGGCCUGGGCUAAUUCUGCUUUUUCAAAGCCAGACACACACUUCAGCUAUCAUCUUUACUCCCCGUGCCUUAAACAGGAAAGCAAACAUUAGCAAUAGAAUUGCCAUUAUCUGUCUAUUUAUUUGUUUCCUUUAAGAUUUGAGAGACGUAAUUUUUAAAGAGGGGUAAAAGAGGAAGUAUGAUUUCCUUUUUAUCCCAGUCUGUGCAGAGCUAGCAAUCUGCCAGCUCAGGUGCAACUCACAGAACAUCCAUAAAGGGAGAGUACCUGUUAAACACUUAUAAAACUUAGUGUUGAUAUAUCUCAUGUCUGUUUUGCAGAUUUGAGAAUUUUAGCUUGUGAUAGUUGGCAGGGUAUUAUUACAUGUGCUGAUACAGCAAGUUGUUUAAUUGCUUUACAGGGGCUCUGCUAAUAAUAUUUUCAAAGGUACAGUGUCACAAGCAACCUCGUCUAAGUGUUUUUCCCCAUAUUUCAGCUGUUCCAGUGAACUGAUACGUUUUGGGGUUUCAUAUUUUUCCCAGUGAUUCUUCCAGGACUUUGAAAAACAUGGAACAAAUUAGGGAGACAAAUGUAGAAAAUUAUGAGAGCCCAAAUUAGCAUUCAUUUUGUAGGAUAUGUCUUGAAGAUAGUUGUUUUCCACACAAAUCCUGCACUGUACAUAGAAUCUUUUCAGCAAGGAUCCUAUAAAAAUUCACAUGCAUUGUUUCUAAUAAUGAUAACAAAUGCUAAUGAUGCUAUGAAUUUUUUGUUAAUUCAACAUUAUUCUGACAUACUCAUAAACUACACUGGCUUACGCUAUGAAACCUGUGAUAAUAACUGGAAUACAUUAAUAGAAAUCAAGAUACACUAAUUACCAUUACCUAAAGUAGAAUGUGGCCUUACUGAGGCCUUUAGUCUUCAAUCUCUGCUGCCUGUGACUGCAUGAAUACUAAUGUAAAGGGAAAAUCAAGCUCCUACACACCUGGAGGUGUUUCAGAACAAAACAUUUCUUGUCUGAAUUGCUAGGCUCUUGCAGAGAAGAGUAUGUUAGCUAUAGUAACAUACCAAUACAAAGUGCUUAUAAUUGUAUUCAGCUGCAAUAGCAGUUCACCCUUCCUUGUAAAUCAUUCCAGUCAGUUAUGAAAAUUAAUAUUUGAUGCAAAAUUUCAAAGUAUUCAUAUUUCUCUGGUAAUUACUAUUUAUUGAAGCAUCACACAAUGUCAUCACUUGUUCCUUCUGAAUGAGCAGAGGAGUGCCUGCUGAUGCUUUUUCUUGUCUCCUGCCUUUGUCAGUAGUCUGGAACUAAGCUGUCCCAUGGACCACAUUAUAAUGCUGUUAUCAGUACUGGGCAUCCAGCAGUUAUCUCUGUAGCUUUGUGAUGUAUUGCAUAGCCUGGCAGGCUGUCCAAGCCUUGCUGUUCUGCGUCCCAUUGCUGCUCGGUGCAAUGUAAUUUACAACUUUUGUAAUAAAGUUUAAUACAUUCCUUGACAUUAGGUUCGCUAUUGUGUCACUGGCAUUUUUGUUCUAGUCUUCAGAAGCAACGCAUGUCUUUCAGCACCUUGACACUUACAAGUUGCUUUUAUGUUACUUUUGUUGCUCAGGACUCUGCUAAGUAAGGGUUCACUUCAAGCCUUUCGAGUCUCUAUAACCUGACAGUCAAUUCUUCUUUUUUUUUUUUUUUAAUUUGAGGAUUAUUUAAAAAUAUGUUGGGUUUUUUUUUGUAUCUACUAUCAAAUAUUACAUCAUUUUAGCUCAGUCUGCUCACUGUCUUUAUCUAAUUCUAUAAUGUAUUGUUUUUGUAGAUCACUUUGCCUUUCCCUCCUUUUAUUUUCACAAUAAAUACCAAAAUAUAACUGGAAAAUAUUUUUAGCCAGUAAGAUUCAAGAUGUAGUGUAAAAUUCAGAUGUUUUUAAUAUAUUACACAAUUUACUUUGUUUUAUGUUCUUUUUUUGAUGAUAGAAGCUUGUUCCACUGUCUACCACUUCAUUGGCAUUUUUUUUCUCCAUGAUUUUUGAUGAAUUUUAGACUUCUAUCACUUCGUACUGAGAACUUUUAUUUUUUUUUUUUUUUUUUUAAUUUUUAUUUUAUUUUUUGUCUAUGUCAAGCACUGUGUAAACAUUUACAUGAUUUAUAGAAACUAACAUGCUUAUCUUCAGACAGCCUUUUGAGUAUAAUGCUUUCAUUUAUUCGAAAUAUUUAUUUCAAGAAGAGACUUAUGAACUGGAGGCAAGGUUCAGCGGUAAAGAUACGAAAAUUAGAUUUUCUUUUUUCCUUUUUUGAUCUUUUGACAUGAGAAGACUCUAAGUAUCCCUGCUGGCAUUCUGGUUGACAACAAAAUUAUAGAGGCAGUUCAGGAACACAACACAUCUUGACCUUGCUUGGAAACUGUCCAAUGCUUUUUUGUGAGUUUUUGUACUUUCAUUAAAAGCUAAAGGCUGAUUCAAAUUAAAUUCCAAAUGAGAUGUCAAAUACAUGAACAGAAAUGAUAAUAAGCACAAAUGAAGUAUAUUAUUAUCAUGGACUUUACUACCUGGAGAAUACUGAGCAAAGAAAAAUCAUAAUGACCUUUUAGCGAUAGCUAUUUGUGACUCAAAACAAAUGAGUAUUUUAUUCUGUAAUCACAUUGAUGUGCCUGCAAGUUAUUUCCAAUUAACUUCAUAGUGGAAGUGUUGUUAUUGGUAUUGCAUAUGAUAACCUGUAUUUUUGAAG